rnacentral:rRNA from 1 species
UACGUAGGGUGCGAGCGUUAAUCGGAAUUACUGGGCGUAAAGCGUGCGCAGGCGGUUCGUUAAGUCAGAUGUGAAAGCCCCGAGCUCAACUUGGGAACUGCAUUUGAAACUGGCGAGCUAGAGUGUGGCAGAGGGGGGUGGAAUUCCGCGUGUAGCAGUGAAAUGCGUAGAGAUGCGGAGGAACACCGAUGGCGAAGGCAGCCCCCUGGGCUGACACUGACGCUCAGGCACGAAAGCGUGGGGAGCAAACAGG